ensembl:lncRNA
AUGACGACCUGGUGGACACGACUCAGACUCGUCCUCUCAGCUGAGAGCUCCCGGGGGGUUUCGUGCCUGUCUGGUCUCAGAUCAGAUCCUCGAGGGAGCCGACUGAGUAAACAGAGAAGUCCAGGAAGGCAGGAGGAGAAAGACGGAUGCUGGUGGGGAGGGUCCAGAGAAAUCCUUCACCCUCAGCAUGCGAGUCAUCUGAUCUGUGAGAACAUGCAGCUUCAGCAGCUGAGCCCUGCAGGACACCAGUGGGUUUCUGCUCCACCUCGGCUCCUCCUGACACGGCUGAACCAGACUGAACCAAGGUGGAUGGCCCUCUCUGAAGGUCCAGCCUGGGCCCUGGUAAGAGACCUGGUCCGGGUCACAGGGACAGCAGCUCCAGCACGACGUCAAACCAACCCCAGAUCCACCGGUGGGAUCGCCAGGCCUUCCUUGGCCAGUGUACCAGGACUGAUAAGGUCCUGAAGCCUCAGAACCAGCCCAGCCCAGACCAUGAGACCUCCACCUCCGUGCUGACAGCUGGGAUUAGCGGCUCAGGUCCUCUCAAUCAUCCGCAUCAGCUGGAGUUCACAGCAACACAAACUGUAUUGCAGCGUUUAUGAGAAGCAUGGACCGAGACCAAAACUUGGUCCAAGUCAGCGUCUCCUAUUUGAGUUCCCAUUUCCAUGGCAACGGUGAAAGGUUUAAGAUGACAUCACUUGAAGGAGAGAUGAUUGUGUGUAAUUAGUUGGUGAUUAUCGUCAUUAACCCAGGUGUGUUUUCUCAGUGACACAGUUCUGAAGGAACAAGGGGGUGAGGGAUUAGGAUGGACCUGUUGCUAUAGCAACUGAAACAGUAGACUGAACGCGACCAGGUGAGAGGUCAGGAUGAAACAGAUCCUGUGAUCUAAAACCUGAUUUCUAACCGCUGAUGCGGAUCAAACAUCCAAGACAACAUAUAACCCUGACUCAAACACCUGUCAGGUAAAUGAUCUGGACACUAAAUCAUCGUUCGUCUGAUUCGUUUUGCAGCAACAACAGAAAACGAGACAAAAAUAAAAACAGUGACUGAAGGAAUUCCUGAUUGAGUUGAUCUUUAUCUAAUCUGAUGGAGAGGAUCUGUCCACGUCGUCUCUGGUACCGACCCGCAGAGAACGGGUCAGCGAGACAAAACCAGAGUUUAUUUUAAAACCAGAGGAGGUGAGAUGUGACUGCUCCCUCAGGUAAUGAGCUGAUGAUGUCACAGCAGCUGAUGGUCCUGAUUGGGUGAGAGGUUCCCAGCAGCAGAUAUAAAAAGAAGGAAAACCAGGAAACCUGGAGAGGAAAGUCCAGACAGAAGGUACUGUGUGUGUGUGUGUGUGUGUGUGUGUUUCCAUAUGUGUGUGUGAGUGAGAGUGUGUGUGUGUAUGUAUAUAUAUAUAUAUAUAUGUGCAUGUGUGUGUGUGUAUAUAUGUGUGUGUUUCCAUAUGUGUGUGUGUGUGUGAGUGCGUGUGUGUAUAUGUGUGUGUGUGUGUGUGUAUUUGUGAGUGUGUGUAUAUAUGUGUGUGUGUUUGUGUGUGUAUAUAUGUGUGUGUGUGUGUGUGUGUGAGUGAGUGUGUGUGUGUAUAUAUAUGUGUGUGUUUCCAUGUGUGUGUGUGUUUGUGUGUGUAUAUGUGUGUGUCAGUGUGUGUGUUUGUGAAUGUGUGUGUAUAUAUGUGUGUGUGUGAGUGGGUAUGUGUGUGCGUGUGUGCAUGUGUGUUUCCAUGUGUGUGCGUGUGUGCAUGUGUGUUUCCAUGUGUGUGUGUGUUUCCAUAUGUAUGUGUGUGUGUGCGUGUGUGUGUGUGUGUGUAUGUGUGUGUGUGUGUGUGUGUGUCAUUCCUGAUAUAGUUACUGAAAUCGGCUGCAGAAAGUCAAAAUUCCCAUGAAUGUUUUGUUUCUCAGAGCAGCUGCAGGAGUGGAGCAGAAACACAAAUGUUGCGUUCAGGUGUUGUUGGGAGGUUCUGCCUCCUGGAGGAAGGAAACAGGAAAGAUCUGAUUUUUCAGGAGGAAGAACACUGUGCAUCAUCAGGAACGUGUGUGUUACAGUGACAAUCUGUCUGCAUGGUUGGAGGGAACAGUGUGUUUUAUGUGUGACUGUAUGUGUGUGUAUGUGUGAGUGUGUGUAAGUGUGUAUGUGUGAGUGUGUGUAAGUGACACUCCAAAGGUAAGGUGUUUAUUUGCAGGAACGGAAAAUGCUAAAAUUAGAAGAUGUUGCUGGACAAUAGUUUGUGUUGUUGUUGGGGCAAAACGUCUCUCCCUCUGUGUGUGUGUGUGUGUGUGUGUGUGUGUGUGUGUGUGUGUGUGUGUGUGUGUGUGUGUGUGUGUGUGUGUGUGUGUGUGUACCCUAACCCGCACACGGAGCAGGAAAAAAACCUCAGGUUUAUGUCAUUUAUAUUUUUCCUUCGGUUGUUUGUUUGUUUGUGUGUGUUUGAUGUUUUGUAACUGAAACACUUUUAAGUUAUUUUUAAUUUUCUCUUCUGUAGAAUAAUAAUUGAACAUUUGGGUUUUACAUUUUAUCGCAUCAACUUCUUUACUUGUUUGUUUCUGGUGUGUUUUGUUUAAAGAUGCCGUCCUCCAGCUGUGUGCUGUGGUUCUGCCUGCUGUCAGUCAUCCUGCUGCAGAACGUCACCGGAGUUCAGCAGAACCCUGCUGAGGUACACACAGGUGCACGCGCCCAUUCAUCCAUCUCCAGUAGUCAAUCAUCGGAGGAUCAGAACUUUUUUGUCGAGUUCUGGUUCUUAUUGAUGUCGUUCAGAGAAGUUCAUUUUGUGUUUAAUGAGGUUACAGAAAAAAGAACAUUCUGCACGUGAAAUUCUCCAGAAAUGGGAAAAAGAACAAACCCAACCACGCCUCCCACUCCACUGAGAAAAAAAGGGUCUUCUGUGGCAAAAAACCACUAAAGUAGAUGGCCUGUAAUUACACAGCGCCAUUCACACGCUCUUCUUUCCCAUAAGUACCAGAAACAGAUGCUGAGGCUGACGGGCUUCAUCCAUCGACAUACAUAUAUGGACAAUGGGUUUCCACAGGCUCCAAUAAGACAUUUUUGAAGAUAAAUGGGAGGUGGCCACCACCGCCAUUUUGACCGUGUCACAGGUUCCGUCAAGCCCAGACAAUUCCACAAAACGGAAGAGAGGUGGAGCUGAGGGUGGGGCUGUAAGGCUGGGAUCAACUGACGACACCCGGUCGAACUAGCUACAAGCUAACCUGAAGCUAACCCAAAGCUAACACAGAGGUGAGAGCUAAGCUAACGGAGGUAGCAACCUAGCUACAACCGGAGUUAGCUGUGCACAACACCAGAGCUUCUGAGUCAGAGAUACGCCGGGCUGACCGCUGGGUAAAACCGGGUGGAAAACAUCGGUCUCCGAGAGCUCCACAAGCCGAUAGUCGGAACCCAGCUCCACCAACAUGUUAUAUUUCAACCCAUUUUCUAAAGUGCAGCAUUAUGUUAAAUGCACUGGGUUUUACCCUAUUUUAUUUAAAUUUCAUGGUUAAACAGUACAUGUUAAAAUCUAAGCUCAGCUCGGCAGUGACCUAAAAUACAUA